UAAUAUAUAUAUAUAUAUAUAUAUAUAUUACUUAGGAAAUAGUCAAAUAAAUUUAUAAUACCUCAAGCCCUUUUAUGGUAGCAUGGUAAAGAUAACCAGAUGUGUAAUUGAAGUAUCUAUAGGACGAAGUUGUCGCUAGAGCACUCUUAUUAUCACUACCAUCACUAUUGGCGAUCCAAUAUGUAACGACGUUAGAACCAUCCUCAUUUAAUGGUGUUACCCACGAGAUGAUCAUACCUCGACCAGCGUGAUCUCCUUGCGUUAUGUGAACCUGAGAAAUAAGUAAGAGUAAAAGCCUAUAAAUCCUAAGUGGCGAAAGAAAUAAAUAAUAUGUAAAUAGUAAUUUUAUAAAGAGAAAUUGAGAAUUACUUGUUCAGGAGCGUUAUAACAAGCAGGAGGGGGAAAUGUUUCGAGUGGCAUUUCUUCAGAUGGUUCCGAUACUCGGACAUGAGUACUGGUGACUCCAGCUUGGCUAACGACAAAGAUGCUUAACAACGCAAUCGCAGAGCAAACAAGUGUUAAGUGAUUCAAUCCCAUUUCGUUUCUAGAAAAUUCUAAUAGAUCUUGCUUUGUAAAUAAUAAUUUUUACUAUGAGAUCCAUAUGCUUUUAUAGA
rnacentral:sRNA from 1 species